rnacentral:rRNA from 1 species
UACAGAGGGGGCAAGCGUUAUUCGGAAUUAUUGGGCGUAAAGGGCGCGUAGGCGGCCUCGUAAGUCGAAGGUGAAAUCCCCGAGCUUAACUCGGGAACUGCCUUCGAUACUGCUUGGCUUGAGUCCGGGAGGGGAGAGCGGAAUUCCCAGUGUAGCGGUGAAAUGCGUAGAUAUUGACAGGAACACCAGUGGCGCAAGCGGCUAUCUGGACCGACAUCGACGCUGAGGCACGAAAGCGUGGGGAUCAAAC